UCUCCGUUGGUGAACCAGUGGAGGGAUCAUUAUCGAGUUUAUAACUCCCAAACCCUAUGUGAACUUACCACUUGUUGCUUCGGCGCGCGCUUCGGUGCCGCCGAGGACACUUAAACUCUUUGUUUUUAUAAGCAUUUCUGAGUGGCCGAAAGGCAAAAUACAAAUGAAUCAAAACUUUCAACAACGGAUCUCUUGGUUCUG
rnacentral:misc_RNA from 1 species